rnacentral:rRNA from 1 species
GUGGGGAAUUUUGCGCAAUGGGCGAAAGCCUGACGCAGCAACGCCGCGUGGAGGAUGAAGGCCUUCGGGUCGUAAACUCCUGUCAGGGGGGACGAAAGCCGCGAAAGCGGAUUGACUGUACCCUCUGAGGAAGCCACGGCUAACUCCGUGCCAGCAGCCGCGGUAAUACGGAGGUGGCAAGCGUUGUUCGGAAUUACUGGGCGUAAAGGGCGCGUAGGCGGCUUUGCAAGUCAGAUGUGAAAGCCCCGGGCUUAACUUGGGAAUUGCAUCUGAAACUGCUUUGCUUGAGUCCUGGAGGGGGUAGUGGAAUUCCCAGUGUAGCGGUGAAAUGCGUAGAUAUUGGGAGGAACACCUGCGGCGAAGGCGGCUACCUGGACAGUGACUGACGCUGAGGCGCGAAAGCUAGGGGAGCAAACGGGAUUAGAAACCCGAGUAGUCC